rnacentral:rRNA from 1 species
CAGUAGCCACGGUAAUACGAAGGGGGCUAGCGUUGUUCGGAAUUACUGGGCGUAAAGCGUACGUAGGCGGAUUGUUAAGUGAGGGGUGAAAUCCCGAGGCUCAACCUCGGAACUGCCUUUCAUACUGGCAAUCUUGAGUUCGGGAGAGGUGAGUGGAACUCCUAGUGUAGAGGUGAAAUUCGUAGAUAUUAGGAAGAACACCAGUGGCGAAGGCGGCUCACUGGCCCGAAACUGACGCUGAGGAGCGAAAGCGUGGGGAGCGACCAGGAUUAGAUACCCCUGUAGUCCCUGUCUCUUAUAC